rnacentral:misc_RNA from 1 species
UUGAAUAAAUUCGGUUGGGUUGCUGCUGGCUCCUAGGAGCAUGUGCACGCCUAGCUCCAUUUUUACCACCUGUGCACCUUUUGUAGACCUGGAUAUCUUUCGAGGAAACUCGGUUUGAGGACUGCUGAGCGAACAGCCCUAGCUUUUCUUACAUUUCCGGUCUAUGUCUUUACAUACCCCAUAUGAAUGUAACAGAAUGUCGUUUACUGGCCUUUGUGCCUUUAAUCAAAUA